rnacentral:rRNA from 1 species
UGAAACAUCUAAGUACCCGGAGGAAAGGAAAUCAAUAUGAUACUCCCCUAGUAGCGGCGAGCGAACGGGGACCAGCCAAGCCAUGAGAGUGACCAGAAUGUGCUGGAAAGCACAGCCAUAGCGGGUGACAGCCCCGUACGAGAAGCUCGAUGGGACGUAUUAAGUAGGGCGGGACACGUGAAAUCCUGUCUGAAGAUCGGAGGACCA